rnacentral:tRNA from 1 species
AUUUAUAUAGUUUAAGUAAAAACUUUACAUUUUCAUUGUAAAAUUAAAAUAUUUAUUUUUUUUAUAAAUA